CCUACGGGACGCAGCAGUGGGGGAUAUUGCACAAUGGGGGGAACCCUGAUGCAGCGACGCCGCGUGGGUGAAGAAGCGCCUCGGCGCGUAAAGCCCUGUCAGCAGGGAAGAAAAUGACGGUACCUGAAGAAGAAGCCCCGGCUAACUACGUGCCAGCAGCCGCGGUAAUACGUAGGGGGCAAGCGUUAUCUGGAUUUACUGGGUGUAAAGGGGGCGCAGACGGCGAUGCAAGCCAGGAGUGAAAGCCCGGGGCCCAACCCCGGGACUGCUCUUGGAACUGCGUGGCUAGAGUGCAGGAGGGGCAG
rnacentral:rRNA from 1 species